GCAUUAAUGGGGUAGUGGUAACCUGGGUCGUUGCCAAAGUGAGACUCCAAUAUCUGCGGAUUGCGUAAUUGUAAUUCGACCCGCCGGGGGUUCGAUUCCCUCUUAAUGCA